AUUGAACGCUGGCGGCAGGCCUAACACAUGCAAGUCGAGCGGAUGAAGGGAGCUUGCUCCUGGAUUCAGCGGCGGACGGGUGAGUAAUGCCUAGGAAUCUGCCUGGUAGUGGGGGAUAACGUCCGGAAACGGGCGCUAAUACCGCAUACGUCCUGAGGGAGAAAGUGGGGGAUCUUCGGACCUCACGCUAUCAGAUGAGCCUAGGUCGGAUUAGCUAGUUGGUGGGGUAAAGGCCUACCAAGGCGACGAUCCGUAACUGGUCUGAGAGGAUGAUCAGUCACACUGGAACUGAGACACGGUCCAGACUCCUGCGGGAGGCAGCAGUGGGGAAUAUUGGACAAUGGGCGAAAGCCUGAUCCAGCCAUGCCGCGUGUGUGAAGAAGGUCUUCUGAUUGUAAAGCACUUUAAGUUGGGAGGAAGGGCAGUAAGUUAAUACCUUGCUGUUUUGACGUUACCAACAGAAUAAGCACCGGCUAACUUCGUG
rnacentral:rRNA from 1 species